AAGUGAAAGGGUUGGAUAAAUUCGCUGGUAUCCCCUUCCGAUUUCCACAUUACAAACUCACCCCCACAAUUGGCGCCGUUUGUGGGAAAUCGGCUGUUGAUACCUGCUAGAACGACACCCAUGACUUCUGAGGGAGAAAACUGUUCCGACAGUCGUCGGACCCGGGGGGAACCCCCACAUGUCCCCAGGACACCUGGGGACAGGGGGGCAAACUACUGGCUGACGCGCAGAGGGCGGUGAAGGCCAC
rnacentral:lncRNA from 1 species